UUGUAAUACUUUUAUUUAUAUCUGACCCAUAAGUGUGGCUUGUGUUUAGGUUAUUAUGCUGCUUAUAAAUGUAGUGAAGUAAAGGGUAACAAUGGUUAAAAAAAACGGGCAAUCAUAGUGGAGUGGAAGUGUGAAGAAACGCGUUAGAGCUUAAUUUAAACGCAGCAAAAUACAAACUCUCCACAAGAGGGCGCCAUUUCACACCUCACGGCCCAUCCCGCCUUAUAUUUCUUCCUAACGUGCUAUGAGCUUAGUAAAGCUAACCUUGAUGUUUCACAAUAUAGCUUCCUGAAUACGCCGAAAAUGAGCCAGGUCACAAUUUAGGUUCCUUCGUGAGUUAUUGUACAUUUUUAGAUUAAGUUUAAAUGUAACUUGCUCGCAGGUGUAUGGUAGUGUUUUUGUUCACGUUGAACUGUUUUUUAAUGCAAAUUUUACUGCAAAACUUAAAAAAUACGUGUCGCACCUGUUCCCGUGUACAAAAUGCUUCAAACAGGGAUUGGACUGCGCAUUUGCUUUUGUUUUGAAACGGCGGAAGUACUUCCUCUAACUCUAACCCACAGUUUGACAGGGUCACGCUGCAAAUCCAGUCGGAUGUUUUGAGUCGCCAAUGUGUGAUGGGAACAUUUCCUCGUUUUGUUUGUUUGUUUGUUUGUUUUAAAUAAAAACUUCUCCAGCGGCGGCCAUUGAUCAGUGUUUUUAACCUCAGACUUAUGAGAAAGAGGUCGCCGUCCGGGCUCGUGUCGAUGCAGUGAGACCUUCACCUGCCACCUGGAAAUAAAGCUAAACGCAGGACAAGCAAGCAGGCUGACAAACCGAAGUUGCCCGUCACAGCCACAAGAGGGCGCUUCAGAUGGAGGCGACCUACAGGUCUGAGCUCCACCUGAUGGGGAGCAGAGCGACGACCCGCCUGAAGCGACUCGGAGUCACAGCUUGCGAAUCACCGGCAGAGGACUGCGAGUAGACACCGGAAAUGCACAGGAAAACGUUUCGGUUUCCACAUUUGUGGCAAAUGAUCAAUAUUGUCACUGAUGUUCUUUCUGAUAUGAACGGUCAUCAAAAUUCUUUCCAAUUAAUUUUGUAGUAAUUGUUGCACUGUAUGUCUUAUUUUCAUUGUUGCGGUGACCAAAAGUACUUCUCACUCAGCACAGAUUCUACUUUACUUUGACUUAACACAGUAAAAUGUAGAAAAACCUCUGAGGAGCUUUUUCACUGUGGACAUGCUGCCCUCUUGUGGCGCUGAAGGAAAUUGCACGUAGUUAAUGGCCUCACAUCUCACCUACAGUAAGAACAGCUAUGUUUAUCCAUUAAUUAUUAGAGCAUGGACCAAACUGACAUUUGGUAUUAGCCUCAGGUUUGUUAAGAGAGCUCAAAAACAUCCCCUUAAGCUUUGUGAAAAUUCACUGAAGUUGA